rnacentral:rRNA from 1 species
UACGUAGGGUGCGAGCGUUGUCCGGAAUUACUGGGCGUAAAGCGCACGUAGGCGGCUUGGCAAGUCGGAUGUGAAAGCCCUCGGCUCAACCAAGGAAGUGCAUCCGAAACUGCUGAGCUUGAGUACUUAAGAGGAUCGCGGAAUUCCCGGUGUAGAGGUGAAAUUCGUAGAUAUCGGGAGGAACACCAGUGGCGAAGGCGGCGAUCUGGGAAGAUACUGACGCUGAGGUGCGAAAGCGUGGGGAGCAAACAGG